UAAACUGGGUUUUUUCUAUGG
rnacentral:piRNA from 1 species